rnacentral:rRNA from 1 species
UACGAAGGGAGCUAGCGUUGUUCGGAAUCACUGGGCGUAAAGCGCACGUAGGCGGAUGUGUCAGUCAGGGGUGAAAUCCUGGAGCUCAACUCCAGAACUGCCUUUGAUACUGAGAGCUUGAGUCCGGGAGAGGUGAGUGGAACUGCGAGUGUAGAGGUGAAAUUCGUAGAUAUUCGCAAGAACACCAGUGGCGAAGGCGGCUCACUGGCCCGGUACUGACGCUGAGGUGCGAAAAGCGUGGGGGAG